AACGAACGCUGGCGGCAUGCCUAACACAUGCAAGUCGAACGAGACCUUCGGGUCUAGUGGCGCACGGGUGCGUAACGCGUGGGAACCUGCCCUUAGGUUCGGAAUAACUCCCCGAAAGGGGUGCUAAUACCGGAUAAUGUCGUCGGACCAAAGAUUUAUCGCCUUUGGAUGGGCCCGCGUUGGAUUAGCUAGUUGGUAGGGUAAAAGCCUACCAAGGCGACGAUCCAUAGCUGGUCUGAGAGGAUGAUCAGCCACACUGGGACUGAGACACGGCCCAGACUCCUACGGGAGGCAGCAGUGGGGAAUAUUGGACAAUGGGCGAAAGACUGAUCCAGCCAUGCCGCGUGAGUGAUGAAGGCCUUAGGGUUGUAAAGCUCUUUUACCCGGGAUGAUAAUGACAGUACUGGGAGAAUAAGCGCCGGCUAACUCCGUG
rnacentral:rRNA from 1 species